CAGGAACUCAUCCGCUAGGACCGUCCUUCGGGUUUACUCCAACCCGUGAUGCAUAACUCCGGAGCGCAUCGCCCGAGGGGGAGCGACCGCCCUCGAGCACGGAACUCAUAGCAAGUGUGAUCGAAUCCUUAACUCAAAGGAUUGUAUGUUCAAUCUUGACUUUACACUAACUCUAGUGUUCUUUGUUUCACUUUAUGUUGCCACUCUAGCAAUCAUUGUUCUUUACUUUUCUUUUACUUUUGCUAACUCUAGCAAUUAUAUUCUUUACAUCCUUUACUUUUGGCUACCUCUAGCACUUCGUGUUCUUUACUCCCCACAUUACUUUAACUUUAAACAUUGUCAUUUUCAUC
rnacentral:lncRNA from 1 species